AAAAGAAAAGAAAGGAAGCCACUAUCAUAUCAUCUUCUCCACUGUCGAAACUGGAGAAAGAAGAAAAAGAGAAAAGCUUGGCUAAGGUUCGGCCAUUGGGAGUUAGAUUAAGGUUAUCUGGAUUCCAUGAGAGACCCAUCAAAGCUUAAAAAGCUUGGCAUAUCCAUGGUGGGAUUUUAUUUCUGACAAUGAAUUUUUUCCUUGUAAGGGAAGACCAUCUACAAAUCAAUGCUUGUUAUUACCAUCAUUAGGAAACCAAAGUACCUGUUCUUUCUUUUACCUUCUCAUCUCAUCAUUAUGUUUCUUUACACAACUUUCUUUUACCCCUGCUUAUGAUUAUGUUCAGUACCCCAGAUUUCCUUUACCUUUUUAAAAUUUGUGACUAAUUUGGGUUUUAAAUCGAGUUUAUUUAUUAUUUAGAGUUUGAA